AACAACCCGAUCACUACCAUGCAAAUCAUCCCACCAGCUUAACAACUUUGGAUGAAUGUUUGAUACCAUACCGAAUAUGCCUUUGCCAAAUUUAGGGGUUCUUGAAUAUCGGAAGAGCGCAACUACUCAUUAUAAGUGUUGCUUUAGGAUUUGUUUGGCACGAGUGGAAAAUGAUGUUGAAGGAUGCAAUUGCAACAAUGAAAUAAAUACAUGUAUUUUCAUGUUCAUAAUGAUUACAAUAAAUGCUCGAAAUUAAUGACGGAAUUGAAAAAAGUAAAGACAAUAAAACAGUAAAACAGUUAAAGAAAAGAAAAGACAUGAAGAAACAAGUAAGUAGUUUUGAAAAUAAAAGAAAAGUAAUUGACGCAAUAAAUAAAGAAAGUGGUAAAGUCACAAAACACGUAGUGGUAAAAUCCUAAAAAGAUCCCCAGCAGAGUCGCCAUGCUGUCGACGCCCCCUUUUUCAAGAGCGAAAUCGGGUUUUACGACAUUAUGGGCAAAACAACUCUAUUUCCCAUUUGGAAAUUGGGUCACGGAAUUGGAAGAGUCGCCACCUAAUGAUUAUAGUGCAUUAGGACACUUUAAGAUAAAGAGAGUGUUUUGAGAGAGAAACUAGAGUUGGGUAAGGGCUUGAAAUUAUC
rnacentral:lncRNA from 1 species